UACGUAGGGGCCUAGCGUUGUCCGGAUUUAUUGGGCGUAAAGAGCUCGUAGGCGGUUUGGUGAGUCGGGCGUGAAAUCUCCACGCUCAACGUGGAGGGGCCACCCGAUACUGCCAUGACUAGAGUCCGGUAGGGGAGUGUGGAAUUCCCGGUGUAGCGGUGAAAUGCGCAGAUAUCUGGAGGAACACCGGUGGCGAAGGCGGCAUCCUGGACCGGCAUUGACGCUGAGGCGCGAAAGCCAGGGGAGCAAACGGG
rnacentral:rRNA from 1 species